AGUGAACGCUGGCGGUAGGCCUAACACAUGCAAGUCGAACGGCAGCACAGUAAGAGCUUGCUCUUACGGGUGGCGAGUGGCGGACGGGUGAGGAAUACAUCGGAAUCUACUUUUUCGUGGGGGAUAACGUAGGGAAACUUACGCUAAUACCGCAUACGACCUACGGGUGAAAGCAGGGGAUCUUCGGACCUUGCGCGAUUGAAUGAGCCGAUGUCGGAUUCGCUAGUUGGCGGGGUAAAGGCCCACCAAGGCGACGAUCCGUAGCUGGACUGAGGGGAUGAUCAGCCGCACGUGAGAGGGGACGCGCACCCGCCCCCGACGUGAGGCAGCGGUGGGGCUUCUUGGGGAAGGGGCGGAAGCCUGUUUCAGCCAUUCCGCGUGGGUCAAGAAGACCUACGGCUUGUAAAGCCCUUUUGUUGGGAAAGAAAAGAGGCCGGUUAACACCCCGCUGUUCUGCCGGUACCGAAAGAAUAGGCACCGGCUACCUUCGG
rnacentral:rRNA from 1 species